rnacentral:rRNA from 1 species
AGGGUUUGAUCCUGGCUCAGAGCGAACGCUGGCGGCGUGGUUAAGGCAUGCAAGUCGUGCGGACAGUCCAAUUGGGUAACUGAUAGGAUUGUUAGCGGCGAAAGGGUGAGUAAUGCAUGGGUAACGUACCCCGGACACGGGAAUAGCCAGUCGAAAGGCUGGGUAAUGCCCGAUGAUGUCUUCAGGUCGCCUGGCCUGAGGACCAACAGAUGGCCUCUACAUGUAAGCUAUCGGUUUGGGAGCGGCUCAUGUCUUAUCAGCAAGUUGGUAGGGUAACGGCCUACCAAUGCUAAGACGAGUAGCUGGUCUGAGAGGAUGAUCAGCCACAUCGGGACUGAGACACUGCCCGGACCUCCACGGAGGGCUGCAGCGACGAAUCAUCCGCAAUGCGCGAAAGCGUGACGGUGCGACGCCGCGUGUGGGACGAAGCCCCUCGGGGUGUAAACCACUGUCGGGCCCAAGCAAGCAAAGGAGGCAAAUAGUCUCCGGCGUUGAGCUAAGCCAUAGGAAGCCUCGGCUAACUCUGUGCCAGCAGCCGCGGUAAGACAGAGGAGGCUAGCGUUGCUCGGAAUUACUGGGCUUAAAGGGUGUGUAGGCGGCUAGGUAAGCGUCGUGUGAAAUCCCUCGGCUUAACCGAGGAAUUGCUUGGCGAACUGCCUGGCUUGAGGCGCGCAGGGGCCAGUAGAACUCUGGGUGGAGCGGUGAAAUGCGUAGAUAUCCAGGGGAAUGCCGGUGGCGAAGGCGACUGGCUGGGCGCGUUCUGACGCUGAGGCACGAAAGCGUGGGGAGCAAACGGGAUUAGAUACCCCGGUAGUCCACGCUGUAAACGAUGUGCACUAGGUUCGAGAGCUUCUGACAGUUUUCGGGCCGAAGGGAAACUGAUAAGUGCACCGCCUGGGGAGUACGGCCGCAAGGCUAAAACUCAAAGGAAUUGACGGGGGCUCACACAAGCGGUGGAGCAUGUGGCUUAAUUCGAAGCAACGCGAAGAACCUUACCUGGGUUUGACAUGCUUGGAUGCCGCCCCCGAAAGGGGGUUUGGCUGCCUUUUAGGUGAAACUUGCACAGGUGCUGCAUGGCUGUCGUCAGCUCGUGCCGUGAGGUGUUGGGUUAAGUCCCGUAACGAGCGAAACCCUUGUCGCUAGUUGCCAGCGGUUCGGCCGGGCACUCUAGCGAGACUGCCGGCGUUAAGCCGGAGGAAGGUGGGGAUGACGUCAAGUCAUCAUGGCCUUUAUGUCCAGGGAUGCACACGUGCUACAAUGCCCGCUACAAAGCGAUGCCAAGCCGCGAGGUGGAGCAAAUCGCAUAAAAGCGGGCCCAGUUCGGAUCGCAGUCUGCAACUCGACUGCGUGAAGGUGGAAUCGCUAGUAAUCGCGUAUCAGCUAUGACGCGGU